CCCAUGUUUAUAUGUUAAAUUGCACUUGUCUCUCUCUCUAUCUCUGUUAACACAUUUAUAUUUGUUUGAUUAAUUCUUGUGUCUUUCAGCCUGUUUCUGCCUAUCAUCAUGAGUGAUUCCUCAAUACUCAGAUUUAUCAUCAAGAUCUCAAUUAUAAGCUCAAGUUUUGAUGACAACUUGGUGAUCUGCAGAAAGCACCACCAUGUAAGGAAGGCCAAGACCACUCUGGAAUCAGUCAAGGUUGAAAUGGAGUGAGGCAUACCAGGAUAUGCCUGGUUUUACUUUUGGGAAGGAGGUUGAACAGUGCAAUAUUUCUUCUAUAGGAUUGCAGUGACCAGACAUGCUACUGUAACUCUCAUGGUCAUGUGCUGGAAUUAGCAGAUAUUCAACAAUUUGGCCAUCUCGCUGACCUGUUGAUAUCAGAAGACCGCAACAGCUCUGCAAAGCAAGUUGGAAAACAGAAUCCAUGAAACUGGCAGUGACUGGAAACCAGUUGGAAGACUUUGGUCUGUGAUGUAGAGGAGUGGGCAGACGGUGAGGAAAUUCUUAUUAAUAUUAAAUGUAGUCAUGAAAAAUUGUGUUACUAUUACUGUCAUUUUUUUUUCAGUAGCAGAAGCAAAGACAACAAAAAGAAGAAGUGAUGUGGAUGUCUUCGUCAUAUUGCAUGACUCUGCUGACCCAGCAACAAAGAGGAGGGUGUUCAACAUCAUCCUGCUAGUCAGGAUUCUUCAGGAGAAGCAGUGGAUUCUUGUGGCAGAGAUGGCCAACCACUAUAAAUACCUUUCAACUCAUCCUGGUUCUUUCAAAUAACUUUCCUGCUUGUUUGCUACUGAAAAGUACUGAUUCGACAUGUGGCCUUAACGAAGAGGGGUUAAAAGGUCUAUGGAUCAUCAUUCUCAAAAAGCAACAAAAUAACUGAGAAAUAAACAACAAUACGAUGGUGCAAUCUAGAGACCUGCAAGGUACCUGCAAGUUUUGGAUGGAGCAGAGAACAUAGAUUUUUUUUAAAUAAAGCUCCAGCUGAUGAGUAUGACA